rnacentral:RNase_P_RNA from 1 species
UGUGUCCGCGGGCAAUCGCGGCCGGGAGGAUGUCCGGCAGUGUUGAAAAACGCUGCCGUCCGCUUACCGGCUGAGGAAAGUCCGGACUGCACAGAGCAGGGAGUCCCUUUGAAAAGAGGGAUGUUGCGGUCUAUACAACCGCAGCAAGACCAGUGCAACAGAAAGUAUACCGCCCGGAAACGGGUAAGGGUGAAACGGCGGAGUAAGAGCCCACCGGGAAAAGCCGUAAGACUUUUCCGCGAUGUAAACUCCUCCCGCAGCAAGACCAAAUAGGGGACGAUGCCGUUGCUCGCGGCGCGAUCAGUCCCGGGUUCUGGUCGCAAAGACAGAUGAUUGCCGCCGUCUUUUGACGGUACAGAAUCCGGCUUACAGCGGAUAAAACGU